rnacentral:rRNA from 1 species
GAUGAACGCCGGCGGUGUGCCUAAUACAUGCAAGUCGUACGCACUGGCCCAACUGAUUGAUGGUGCUUGCACCUGAUUGACGAUGGAUCACCAGUGAGUUGCGAACGGGGUGAGUAACGCGUAGGUAACCUACCUCAUAGCGGGGGAUAACUAUUGGAAACGAUAGCUAAUACCGCAUGACAAUAGGGUACACAUGUACCCUAUUUAAAAGGGGCAAAUGCUUCACUAUGAGAUGGACCUGCGUUGUAUUAGCUAGUUGGUAAGGUAACGGCUUACCAAGGCGACGAUACAUAGCCGACCUGAGAGGGUGAUCGGCCACACUGGGACUGAGACACGGCCCAG